ACGCUCGACACCUACGGGAAGCAGCAGUGGGGAAUAUUGCACAAUGGGGGGAAACCCUGAUGCAGCGACGCCGCGUGAGCGAAGAAGUAUUCGGUAUGUAAGCUCUAUCAGCAGGGAAGAAACUGACGGUACCUGACUAAGAAGUCACCGGCUAAAUACGUGCCAGCAGCCGGCGGUAAUCUGAGCGGGCUGGCAAGGC
rnacentral:rRNA from 1 species